rnacentral:rRNA from 1 species
AUUGAACGCUGGCGGCAGGCUUAACACAUGCAAGUCGAGCGGGGGAAGGUAGCUUGCUACCGGACCUAGCGGCGGACGGGUGAGUAAUGCUUAGGAAUCUGCCUAUUAGUGGGGGACAACAUCUCGAAAGGGAUGCUAAUACCGCAUACGUCCUACGGGAGAAAGCAGGGGAUCUUCGGACCUUGCGCUAAUAGAGGAGCCUAAGUCGGAUUAGCUAGUUGGUGGGGUAAAGGCCUACCAAGGCGACGAUCUGUAGCGGGUCUGAGAGGAUGAUCCGCCACACUGUGACUGAGACACGGCCCAGACUCCUACGGGAGGCAGCAGUGGGGAAUAUUGGACAAUGGGGGGAACCCUGAUCCAGCCAUGCCGCGUGUGUGAAGAAGGCCUUAUGGUUGUAAAGCACUUUAAGCGAGGAGGAGGCUACUCUAGUUAAUACCUAGGGAUAGUGGACGUUACUCGCAGAAUAAGCACCGGCUAACUCUGUGCCAGCCGCCGCCGUAACAC